AUUGAACGCUGGCGGCAUGCCUUACACAUGCAAGUCGAACGGUAACAGAUCUUCGGAUGCUGACGAGUGGCGAACGGGUGAGUAAUACAUCGGAACGUGCCUAGUAGUGGGGGAUAACUACUCGAAAGAGUGGCUAAUACCGCAUGAGAUCUACGGAUGAAAGCAGGGGAUCGCAAGACCUUGUGCUACUAGAGCGGCCAAUGGCAGAUUAGGUAGUUGGUGGGAUAAAAGCUUACCAAGCCGACGAUCUGUAGCUGGUCUGAGAGGACGAUCAGCCACACUGGGACUGAGACACGGCCCAGACUCCUACGGGAGGCAGCAGUGGGGAAUUUUGGACAAUGGGCGCAAGCCUGAUCCAGCAAUGCCGCGUGCAGGAUGAAGGCCUUCGGGUUGUAAACUGCUUUUGUACGGAACGAAAAGCCCUGGGUUAAUACCCUGGGGUCAUGACGGUACCGUAAGAAUAAGCACCGGCUAACUACGUGCCAGCAGCCGCCGUAACAC
rnacentral:rRNA from 1 species